AACGAACGCUGGCGGCAUGCCUAACACAUGCAAGUCGAACGAGACCUUCGGGUCUAGUGGCGCACGGGUGCGUAACACGUGGGAAUUUGCCUCGGGGUAUGGAAUAACUCAGGGAAACUUGAGCUAAUACCAUAUAAUGUCUUCGGACCAAAGAUUUAUCGCCCUGAGAUAAGCCCGCGUAGGAUUAGCUAGUUGGUGAGGUAAAGGCUCACCAAGGCGACGAUCCUUAGCUGGUCUGAGAGGAUGAUCAGCCACACUGGGACUGAGACACGGCCCAGACUCCUACGGGAGGCAGCAGUGGGAAUAUUAGGGACAAUGGGCGAAAGCCUGAUCCAGCAAUGCCGCGUGAGUGAUGAAGGCC
rnacentral:rRNA from 1 species